UACGGGGGGAGCAAGCGUUGUUCGGAUUUACUGGGCGUAAAGGGCGCGUAGGCGGCGUGACAAGUCACUUGUGAAAUCUCCGGGCUUAACUCGGAGCGGCCAAGUGAUACUGUCGUGCUAGAGUGCGGAAGGGGCUACUGGAAUUCUCGGUGUAGCGGUGAAAUGCGUAGAUAUCGAGAGGAACACCUGUGGCGAAGGCGGCCCCCUGGUUGGAUACUGACGCUGAGGAGCGAAAGCGUGGGGAGCGAACAGG
rnacentral:rRNA from 1 species